rnacentral:rRNA from 1 species
UCCGUAGGUGAACCUGCGGAAGGAUCAUUAAUGAAAUGCAAGGAUGCUCUUUUUAGAGAUCCGACCAACUCAUUUACCUUUCUACACUGUGCACACACUACUUUUUUACACCCAAUUUUUUAACACUAUUAGUAAUAAGAAUGUAAAUCAGUCUCUUAAUUGAGCAUAAAAUAAAUAAAACUUUCAGCAACGGAUCUCUUGGCUCUCGCAUCGAUGAAGAACGCAGCGAAAUGCGAUACGUAAUGUGAAUUGCAGAAUUCAGUGAAUCAUCGAAUCUUUGAACGCACCUUGCACUCUUUGGUAUUCCGAAGAGUAUGUCUGUUUGAGUGUCAUGAAACUCUCAACCCCCCUAUUUUGUAAUGAAAUAGGCUGCGGGCUUGGAUUAUGGUUGUUUGUCGGCUUAACAGCCGGCUCAACUGAAAUACACGAGCUACCCAUAUUUUAAAAUAGACGGUUUGACUCGGCGUAAUAAUUAUUUCGCUGAGGACGUCACAUUUUUAAUUAACAAGUGGUGCUUCUAAUGCAUUAAUCUUAAGCUUUAGACCUCAAAUCAGUCAGGACUACCCGCUGAACUUAAGCAUAUCAAUAAGCGGAGGA